rnacentral:rRNA from 1 species
AGAGUUAAACAGUGCGUGAAAUUGUUGAAAGGGAAACGUUUGACACCAGUCAUGCGGGUGGAAAAUCAGUCUCUUGUAGUGGGGAAGCGCUUUGGUUCAGACCGCAAGGCUGGCCAGGGUGUUCUCCUUGCUGCGAGUGAUGCACUUUUUCAUUUGCAGGCCAACAUCAGUUUCCUCUGCUGGACAAAACCUCAAGAGAAGGUAGCAGCUUAGGCUGUGUUAUAGCUCUGGGGCGAUACAGUGGGGGGGACUGAGGUUUUCGCAGCGUGUGCUCCCGGGCAAGGCAGAUUGGGUGCUAUGAGAUCGUUCGGCGUACAAUGCAUGCAUUUUGCGCUGUGUCUUUUUCAUACUCGUUCAACUCUGCUCUUCCACGCUUAGGAUGUUGACGUAAUGACUUUAAACGACC